rnacentral:sRNA from 1 species
UAUGUUUAAAUAUAUACGUAUAUAUAAUUAUCUGCGAGGCGCUCAUUCGGGCUCUCCAGAAAUGUUAUUUAAGGUGGUUAAAGCGGUCCAUUAACUAAUCCGACUUUUUUUUCCGGCUCUUUGGUAAUUGGUAUAAAUAGGGAAGGGUAAGGUUUAAACGUAAAAUGGGAUCUUAAUAGGUACAUUUAAAAAAACAAAAAACAUAAGCCAAAUACCAUUUAUAUCUCCAAUUUAAAACUCGGACUAUUUUACAAUCCAACCAAACUUCCCAUUUGCGGCAAAGGAAAAUAAAAAUAGCGUUUCUAACCUGAGAUAAUUUACAACAUUCCCACCGUAUUUCGAAAGAUAAUACGGCUUUCCUCAAACUUUAAUAUGCGGUUUAACAAAAAUUUGCGCUGGUAAUAUAUUACAGAAUUUUCGAGGGCAACGGAUUUAACUUCGGUAUCGUUUAUAAUUGCCACGAUUAAAGGGGAGAAAACGUGUUUAAAAUCGCGAAACAUGUGGCGUUCGAUCACCUAAUUAGUAACGUUGGUAAUAAAAACCUUUAACUGGACCUUUUUACGUCGCAAAAAUCAGUAGCAGUUUUUUAUAAUUCGCAUAUUUUUUAAAACCAUUACGAAUAAAUAUGGAGGAAAAUAAUACCUUGUAAAUCGCGUGCAAAUAGUCCAGGGCCUCCUCGCAACUAAAUUUCUCCAUAUCGACAUUAGAUUCGCUGGUGGUUUUGGAUAACGUCCCAAUAAUUAAUUUUAAAUCGAAUUUGUUAUAAUGUGCGCCUCGGCUGCAAUUUAUACUGGAGCGAUAUUUAAAUAAAACAGGAUUAAUAAUAUUAAACCACGUUCGUAACUUAUCUUUACCGGUCCUGUGGAAGUUGUCCGUAUAAUAGUGGUUGUAAUUGAUAGGAAAACCUUUUAAGUCUUCGAUUAACAUCCUUAACUCCUUUCGGGCUUUCAUUUUGCGUUUUUCAAAACGUUGCCUAAUUUUAAAAGACCUAAUUCAGGCGUAUUAGCGCAUUAAUAUUUAAUAAUCGAGCAAGAAUUUUGCGGUAUUAUAUUCACUAUAUUCGAAAAAUAAUAUUUUUAACUCCCCUUUUUUUAAGGAGAAUAUUAUAAAAUUGCUCGCAAAUGUAGCUAACGAGGUCGAUAUGGGAUUCGGCGAAUUUGGCCCAUGGUUGAAAUUGCUCCUAAAAAAACUCAGUUAUUAUAUUUGGAUUAAAGCUCCCGAACAACUUAGUUCCUCGCGAACGUUAUAUUAAUUGUUUUACCCAUUCCGUUACCUUGGUUUUCGAAAGCCUUUUUGGUCCUGGCGUAACAAUUUUAAUUUAUGUAAAUAUUUCGCUUUUUACGCUGCUGUCCGAAACCAGGUCGGCGUGCACGAUUGCAGGAAUUUGAUAUUUGUGUCCUUUCGUCCAGAUAUUUUCUGAAAAUUGGCUGUUGCAAUAUUAAAUGGCUGUACGGAGUCGAGCGAUUGUGCUCUUGUUUUUCAGGCUGAACGCAUUUUCCCCGCCUAAUUUAAAAAAUUCGUGUUUAUAAUGCCCGUUUAAAACUGUUUUGCAAAUUUUAUGGCAAUCCAUAAUUAAAUGCGUCAAAUAUAUGCGGCAAUUUAAAACAGUGGAUCGUAAAUCCCCGAAAAGCUUUAGUUUAUUUUUAAAUAAUUUUAGAGCCAUUUCGAAAUCUCCCAUCAGGCGGGGAAACUUAUUUUUCAUAUGGCCGUAAAAUAGGUGGUUAAGUCGUGUGCGCAGCGUAUUAAUAUCACACGUUUCCUGUGGCAGAAUUCUGAAACUUGAGGACCGAAAGAAGUUCGUCUCUAAUAUAUUACGCUUUUUAAAUGAGAAAUUUCGUUCCUCAAACUUUCGAUUUUUUAUAACGUGCCAACCGAGCUGAAAAAAAACGUCCUCGUUACGGGCGAAUUUAAGGAACUUCUUUUCGGAACCAGACCCGGCUUUAAAUUUGUCCGGUUUUAUAAUUACACCAAAUGUUCGCUCGCCAAGGGGGUCAAAUUUGCGAAUUUGUUAAAGGAUUCCUUAAUUGGCCGCGUUAUUCGUAACCGAAAUAACCGCUAGGCAAAUAAUAUAAGGUUGGGAGAUAUAAUAGUUAAUAAUCUCUUUUAUUAUUUUAACGUUAUUAUCUGAAACACCUUUAGUAAAGGUUUAAAUUAGGCCUGGAAUAUUAACCAGGGUUAACUAAGGACGGUUCGGGCUAUUAAUAUUAAUACUGAGCGUAUUUUUGGUAAAAACGCUGGUAAAUAAUACGUUAUCAAAUCCUGAAAUCCCCAUUACCGUUAUGGCCGCAUUAAUAACAAUGGGCAAAUUAGCAAAGGUAAUAAUAAAUUGGGAAAAGGUUUUGAUAUUUUGUUUUUUAUAUUUAGGGCGACUGCUGUUUGGAACAAUUUUAACAGUAAUCUUGUCGACGGCUUCGCGGCGGAAAUUAAUUUCAGUAACAAACCUGGUGCAAAGGUUGUCGUUUCUGGGGAAAGGAAUCUCAGUUAGGGCUUCCAAUACGGAACUCUUCCCAGCAGAUUAAUUUCCACAAACGACGAUCUGAAAUAGGGAUAGGAUAUUGUCGAAACCAUAUUUUGGCACGUAAUUAAUAAUGUCGAAAAAAAUUCGCUGCUCCGUUAUUUGGAACUUUUCCAAAAUGGAUUUAUAAAAUAGUUUGUUAAAGGAAAAGGAAUUAUCGGGAACGCCUAUAUUGGUUAACAGGAAAUUGUAAAUUUGAGAAACGAAUUUGAAGGAAACAGGGGACGGGAUAAUAACAUCUGAGAAAGAAAUUAAAGGAUUAACAGCGAAAAUAUAACCUUUGUUUGAGCUUUUAAAUUGUUAUCGAAGGCCAAAAUCGUAUUAUAAAAUGAAAAUACAACACUUCUUAACCGCUAGAUUUUUCGUUUUUUGUCGUUGGAAUAAAAGCAAAGAUCCUCAAGACCCUCCUCCCUUAAUAUUAUCAAAUGGCAUUUAUUUUUAAAUUGCCGGACCUAUAGUCAGCCGCUAUACCACGUUAUAAAGCAGGGCGGCCAAUUACAUUAGCUGGCCUAUCGGAAAUCUUUAAUUUAAAAAGUAACUUUCCCAGUAAAAUUACCAUUUUUCAAUUAUGCGGGAGGCCCUUCUUUUCUGCGCCUCCGUUUCCGCCAGGUUAAGCACAUUUCCUCGCUUAAUACCAACAAAGUCUGGCAAAAAAGAAAUAAAUUUCCAUUUCUUUUAAAGCCAGUAGGAAGACGUGAAUUAUAUAUAUAUUUGGUUAAUUAGUUUAAAUUGCUUCUUUAAAACGCUAGGCUAAUUAAAGGAACCGCUAUAUUACCUAAUGUUGGAAAUUAUGGAAGUUUUUUAGCCCAGCGCAUGGAAAGCCUAUUGCAUAGUCGGCCGCAUAUUAGGUAAGGAAACGAUCUCCAUUACCAGGUAUUUUGAGGGCCUUUAAUUGGUUGUCCAUAUCCGACAAAAUGCAAUGUGGGAGGCCCACCAUCCUCCUAUUAACUAAAUUAACAGUUUUGGAAACGGGCGAUCCAGCCACAAAUUAGCAUAUGUAAAAGGCCCUCCACCGCUUAUUAAUGGGGUUAAAAUUGAGGCAUUUGCCAAAAUAUUUGUAAAAUACAAAUCUCGAUUUUUGGGGAUGUGUUUGUCAAAUCUGGAGCUUUUAAUUUAUACCAUUGGAAUCGGCCGUACUGGGUUUGCUCACGCCCUAAACAACGCACUAUUAAUAAAAUUGAAAAUUAUUAAUUUUGUAAUUAAAAAUACCACCAUUAUGCAGGAGGUCCUCCAUAUAUAACGCCUAGGAAAAAUGCUUUAUUACGGGCCAUUAACCAAAAUACCUGUUUGUCAGGAAUAUCGGAAACCUUCGGUUGCAUACCCAGAUAUUAUUAGUUUUAUAUAAAAGGCCUGUUAUUCUCCUGCCAUUAUAUCGCACAAAUAAUAAUUUUGGUGGUUAUUAUUUAUACAAUUACAAAAAAGCAUUUGGGAUGCAGGAAACAUCGAUUAAUGCGCUAUAUUAUCCCCUGUCGCUUCGCAAAAAAUACCCAAUUAUAAAUUACUAGUUCCAAAAAUGGAGGGCCUCCUAUAUAAAGGGGAUUCCUAUUUUAAUUGGCUGGCUAAUAAUUUAGCACACCAUAUAUUAAAUUGUAUGUAGGUAUAAUAUAUAGGUUUUGUGGCAAAUACGGAAACAUGUGGGCGCAAUUACAACGACCGUCUUUAUAUUAUUACCAUAUUGUCGCCUGUUCGCGAACAUCGAUUUGCGCCUUUCCCGCAUAAAAAAAAUACGUCUAGCAACUUUUUCAAGCCCAUAAAUCACAUAUCGCACAUUUCUAUCGCUUCGCGCGAAUAAACUGUAAUAUUUGGACCUUAAGAUCACCAGACCCUAACCCUAACCCCUGACCAACGACCCACCAGGGUAAUACCUGACGCAUAUUAACGUAUAUAUACAGUUAGAUUUAGUGGGUAGGAGAGCCAUAUAUUGGUAUAGGCCGUGUUAUCUGUGCUAAAACGCGUGUUGGAGCUUUUAUCGUGCUCCUAACGCUAAUUCAACGCUUAUUGUCAUAUGACGACAAGUUUUAUCUAAUUAUCUAAUGCAACAAUAUUUUUAUUUAAAUUACGUCGCGUUAAAUUCGGAACUUUGUUUGUUUCCUUCCCUUUCCUCAAAGUAAAAUCUUCGUCGAUAGGCGCCAAUAGAUUAGUUUCCGUGCUAUAUUUACCCUGGCCGUAACAAUUACCACGCAAUCCAUUAAUUUAACAUGUUUUCAUUUUUGGACUCUUUCGUGGCAAUGGUUAAAAUUCACGAAUUUACCUUGACGGACACGUCCAUGCGAUAUAAUUGUCCUAUAU